rnacentral:rRNA from 1 species
UACGUAGGUGGCGAGCGUUGUCCGGAUUUACUGGGCGUAAAGGGAGCGUAGGCGGACUUUUAAGUGAGAUGUGAAAUACUCGGGCUCAACUUGAGUGCUGCAUUUCAAACUGGAAGUCUAGAGUGCAGGAGAGGAGAAUGGAAUUCCUAGUGUAGGGGUGAAAUGCGUAGAGAUUAGGAAGAACACCAGUGGCGAAGGCGAUUCUCUGGACUGUAACUGACGCUGAGGCUCGAAAGCGUGGGGAGCAAACAGG